GUUGCCCAUAAUGAUUUUAUAAACAUUUUGCCAGCAGAUCAAUACCUGUAUUGAUCAGGCAUUGUGAGAGUGAUCCGUCUAAAACCCAGAACAGCCUAGAGCUCAGAGGUGGGAGGAGCAAAAGAGAGAGGCUGAAUAGAGGAUGGCGAAGGAGAGCGAGUCUGCAACCACAGUGAAAACGAAAAGAGGUGCAAGGUUGGAAGAGACUGAGGGAGAGGCGGACGCAGAGACGGAAGCAGAAAGAAACUCUUAAAGAAGAGACGGAGGAGGCUGAGAGCACACUGCUGCUCUGAAUCUAAUUGCUGCAAAAUGAUCAAAACUUAUAUUUCCUGAAACAUCCUUAACAUUCAGGAGAGGAAUAAUUCCACAUCACCAUUAUGGAAGAAGAACUGCAGAAGCAUAUUAAAUGUAGAGGCAAUGCUAAUACCAAAAGACAAACAUGGCAACAUGACGACCAUCUUCAACGUACAGGAUUGCUGCCGCUUUGUAAACACGUGGAUGGCUGGCUUUUUGGAAUACUUUUUUACUGUCUGGGAAUUCUCUAAAUUGGAUGAUUGCUUUACAUUUAAAACACAAGUAGGAGAUUUACUGAAGCUGAGAUGACUCACUGGAUGACUCAACACAAGUUCAAGGCCACAAUCUGCCCUGCGCUGGAGGACAAGUCAAAUGCUUUUGCUGUCAUUCCCUCAUGCUGUGGGGAAAUCAAGCUUCAUUGAUUGGUUUUUAAAUAAGAUGUGUUGUGCAUAAAUGAGGAUCUGAAGGAAGAUGAAUUCCUCAAACGAACUGUGGGGGAAGACCUUGAUGCUCAUGAACUCAUGUGCUCUGGAGACUAGUGUGGAAGCACUCAAUGAAAAAGGCCUGAUGGCUCAUGCCUCUUUGACCAAGCUAAAAAAAAAAAAAGAAAGAAAAAGGAUUUAGGCUUAUCAAGGCUUAUUAAGGGCAUGAGACACUUGUAAACAAUUUUCCUAAUGAAUUAACAAAAUACACUGGGCAAAAAUUUCAUCAGCUGACCUUUUGUGAAUCUUCUCACCUUUCAAACAAAGCAUUUUACUGGGAUUUUAUGAAAUAGACCAAUACAAAUAAUGGACUACUGUGAGCCAAAAGGGAAAGGAUAGAAAGACUUAAAAACACUGCACAAAUAAAACCUGGGAACUAUGGUGUGUA